GGCAAGCGUUGUUCGGAAUUACUGGUCGUAAAGGGCUCGUAGGCGGCCAACUAAGUCGGACGUGAAAUCCCUCGGCUUAACCGGGGAACUGCGUCCGAUACUGGAUGGCUUGAGGUUGGGAGAGGGAUGCGGAAUUCCAGGUGUAGCGGUGAAAUGCGUAGAUAUCUGGAGGAACACCGGUGGCGAAGGCGGCAUCCUGGACCAAUUCUGACGCUGAGUGAGCGAAAGCCAGGGGAGCAAACGGG
rnacentral:rRNA from 1 species